CCUGUCCCCCCAUCCUUCUACAGGUCUCUGUCUCUCAUGUUCCUAUGGCUGAUGGUCUUCACGCCAUGUCCUGGGGUCUCUGAGGUCUUCUGGUGUCACACUGGUGACUUCUAGAGAAAGGAUGGAAGACUGAGUCCCCAAAGUGAACGCCAGUGCACCCCAAAUGCUGAGCCCCAGGGUUCAGGCAUUUGGGGCCUUUUCCAGCUAUGCUGAGCUGAUGGCUUGGGCACAGCCUGGGGUGUGAUAUUGCAGGACCUUCUGAGCAACCCCCGCCUGGAGUCCAGAUCCUGGAGAGCAGGACAGGGAGCCCUCCUACAAGGCAAUCAAUGCUGCCUGGGAUGGUGGGAGCUGACAGGAGUCUCAAGCCUACAUCCCUGCCAAAGGCUGUGUGCUGUGAAGUUCAGGAGAAAAGAAACCAAACUAGGGAACGCUUGUUUUACUGGCCACCAUGAAUUCAGCAUCUUUGCUCUACUAUGCACUUCUGCCAUGAUGUUUCUGCCUUGGAGCCAAGCAACCAUGGACUGAAU